GGAGAGGUGACAGAGCGGCCGAUUGUGCGGCACUGGAAAUGCCGUGUGCGGGUCAAACUGCACCGGGGGUUCGAAUCCCCCCCUCUCCG
rnacentral:tRNA from 1 species